AACCUUAUCAUGCUUUUUGUCUGUGUAUAUAAUCUCAAACUAUGAUGCAUACAAACACAUGUUUGUUUUUUAUCAUUAUUAUUGUUUAUUGUUACCUAGUUCGGUUUUCUUCAGUUAUCAAUGUCUGAAGCCAAAGAAGAUAUCAGCAGCUGCUCGAAGAUCUCGCCUUUGGAGAAGACUGAUUUUAUACUCAAAAAAAAAUCUGUGCCCAUUCUGCAGCUUUAUUCUGAUGAAGCAGCUGAUGAACACCUUCAUCCAUAAUGUCCCUCACUGCUGCUCUUCUCAAUGGGGACAUCGUUGAUCCAGAGGAUGAGGAAGAUGAUGAUGAUGGACCCCUGAACCCCACAACCUUGAAGCAAGAGUGGGAGAAGAUGUGCAGGACAAUCUGGCUGCUGCUGUGUCUGCUGCAAACAUUCAUGUGCUCUCCAUCAGCAUGACUAAAUAAACAGAUUAAAACAUU